rnacentral:rRNA from 2 species
GCUACACCUGCCCCACCGAAACAGAAGUGCCGAAACCGUGGUGCAACUGAAAGCCUGAUGGCCGUUGUUGCUGGUGUUGCACGAAGGUGCAAAUCGUGAAGCGGGGUGGUUUUCACAACUCUGACCCGAAAGAGCACGGGUUUUCAAUAUCG